UACGUAGGGACCAAGCGUUAUCCGGAAUUACUGGGCGUAAAGGGUGCGCAGGCGGGCAUGCAAGUCUGACGUGAAAGCCCCGAGCUUAACUCGGGAAGUGCGCCGGAAACUGCAUGUCUUGAGGACCAGAGAGGCAGAGAGAAUUCCUGGUGUAGCGGUGAAAUGCGUAGAUAUCAGGAGGAAUACCUGUGGCGAAAGCGCUCUGCUGGAUGGUUCCUGACGCUGAGGCACGAAAGCGUGGGUAGCAAACGGG
rnacentral:misc_RNA from 1 species